rnacentral:lncRNA from 1 species
CGUGACUGAAACACCCCAGGGGCAAGAUAAACAGGCAGGCCCUGCACUUUGUCAACUAAAAUAGGCUGAGAAGGUAUAAAUGGAAUGCUAAGCCACCCACACCACAGCAGAUGUUGCAGAACGCUUCAGAUUCCGAGAAGAAGCUACCAUAUGGAAAAGUAGGUCUUCAGGAAGAAAGAGCAUCAAAAUGGUAACAUCCUCUCAGUGCCGAUGGCAAAGAUGAGUGGCUCUGCCUUCUGAGUCAGGCCAGCCCAUUGAGAGCUUCAGAGGAGCUAAUGCAGGACAUACUUGUUGGAGACCAGAAAGAAGAAAUGUGUGCGUUGACUUGAGGUCCCUGGCGUGAUGACUGGUUGUCAUCUACUCUGUGUAUCCCGAGAGAGAGAAGCCCUUGUCUUGCCGGCUGGCCCAACUGGUCACUUGCACUAAACAUCAGGAACUUGG